AAUCAACGCUGGCGGCGUGCCUAACACAUGCAAGUCGAACGAGAAAGUGGAGCAAUCCAUGAGUAAAGUGGCGACCGGGUGAGUAACACGUGACUAACCUACCCUAGAGUGGGGAAUAACCUCGGGAAACCGGGGCUAAUACCGCAUAACAUCACGAGGGGAAGAUCCUUGUGAUCAAAGGAGCAAUUCGCUCAAGGAGGGGGUCGCGGCUGAUUAGCUAGUUGGUGAGGUAACGGCCCACCAAGGCUUAGAUCAGUAGCCGGCCUGAGAGGGCGCACGGCCACACUGGAACUGAAACACGGUCCAGACUCCUACGGGAGGCAGCAGUGGGGAAUUUUGCGCAAUGGGGGAAACCCUGACGCAGCAACGCCGCGUGGAGGAUGAAGUCCCUUGGGAUGUAAACUCCUUUCGAUCGGGACGAUAAUGACGGUACCGGAAGAAGAAGCACCGGCUAACUCUGUGCCAGCAGCCGCGGUAAUACAGAGGGUGCAAGCGUUGUUCGGAAUUAUUGGGCGUAAAGGGUGCGUAGGCGGUGCGGUAAGUCUGUAGUGAAAUCUCUGGGCUCAACUCAGAGUCUGCUAUAGAAACUGCCG
rnacentral:rRNA from 1 species